CAGUCGAACGAGUUCUGAUUAUUGAAAGGUGCUUGCAUCUUGAUUUAAUUUUGAACGAGUGGCGGACGGGUGAGUAACACGUGGGUAACCUGCCCUUAAGUGGGGGAUAACAUUUGGAAACAGAUGCUAAUACCGCAUAAAUCCAAGAACCGCAUGGUUCUUGGCUGAAAGAUGGCGUAAGCUAUCGCUUUUGGAUGGACCCGCGGCGUAUUAGCUAGUUGGUGAGGUAACGGCUCACCAAGGCAAUGAUACGUAGCCGAACUGAGAGGUUGAUCGGCCACAUUGGGACUGAGACACGGCCCAAACUCCUACGGGAGGCAGCAGUAGGGAAUCUUCCACAAUGGACGCAAGUCUGAUGGAGCAACGCCGCGUGAGUGAAGAAGGCUUUCGGGUCGUAAAACUCUGUUGUUGGAGAAGAAUGGUCGGCAGAGUAACUGUUGUCGGCGUGACGGUAUCCAACCAGAAAGCCACGGCUAACUACGUGCCAGCAGCCGCGGUAAUACGUAGGUGGCAAGCGUUAUCCGGAUUUAUUGGGCGUAAAGCGAGCGCAGGCGGUUUUUUAAGUCUGAUGUGAAAGCCCUCGGCUUAACCGAGGAAGUGCAUCGGAAACUGGAAAACUUGAGUGCAGAAGAGGACAGUGGAACUCCAUGUGUAGCGGUGAAAUGCGUAGAUAUAUGGAAGAACACCAGUGGCGAAGGCGGCUGUCUGGUCUGUAACUGACGCUGAGGCUCGAAAGCAUGGGUAGCGAACAGGAUUAGAUACCCUGGUAGUCCAUGCCGUAAACGAUGAAUGCUAGGUGUUGGAGGGUUUCCGCCCUUCAGUGCCGCAGCUAACGCAUUAAGCAUUCCGCCUGGGGAGUACGACCGCAAGGUUGAAACUCAAAGGAAUUGACGGGGGCCCGCACAAGCGGUGGAGCAUGUGGUUUAAUUCGAAGCAACGCGAAGAACCUUACCAGGUCUUGACAUCUUUUGAUCACCUGAGAGAUCA
rnacentral:rRNA from 2 species